rnacentral:sRNA from 1 species
CCGCCUAGCGCACCACCGAUACCGGCCUGCAUAUCGUCGCCCGCCAUCGCGCUAGUACCUACCAGGCUCAGGGACAACAGAAGGAUCGAGGAGUACUUCAUAAUCAAAACUCACUGUGAGGAUGAUGGCGCCGAUCCUCGUGAUUACCGCUUCGCUUGGCAAGUGGAAUCUGCUUAAGGGUGCGAUAACUUCCACAAAAGGCAAAUGUAUGAAUUUAUUACAGAAACUUUAUUACGGAACGGUAGUCUGCACCUUUUUAUCUUGAUCGAAAUGUAGCGGAAAAGGGCGGGUUUACGCUCUAAA